GGACCAUGGUGGGUCACAGUGUAUUCUUUAAUCAAUCAAGCAAAAGGAUAACAGUACAGCACAACCUAACACAAUUUAACGAAUUAUAUUUAAUAUCUUCCAAAAGUGUGGCCAAAGCUUAAGGUGCACUGGAUCACUGUCACAUAAUUUGUAUUAGUCAACUGACACAUAUAAUACCAUCAGUUUUUCUAUUUGAUUUUCAAAGAAAAUGUUCCCGGAAAUAAAUGUGCUAUGAUAUGAUUGUCAAUUCAUUCAGCUCCUCAUCCGCCUUCAUGAAUUCCCCUUGUGUUGAGUUCUUAUAUCUAACAAUAAUUGACAGACAUAUAGAGGGAUUUUAUAAACUAAGGCAUCAUCAGUACGUAAAAAUUUAAUCUUUCCUCCUCUCUAUUUUAAGGACAAUGUUGCUUACUGUCAUUAGUUUGUUCCAUCUUGCCUUUGAUUUUUGCAUUCCAUCAUUUGAAGAAAUUAUAAAAAAGGAUAAAAAAGGAAUGAAAAGAAACAAAGAGCACAGGGGAAGGAAUAGAAUUUAAAGCUCUCAAGAGCAUGUUAAAAUAAGUAACCUUUUAAAAGAAAGCUGAUACAUAUGUGUUCACAGGGAUAUAACCACAUGCAAUUACACAAUUUACCUACUUGGUUUCUAGUUAAUAGUAUAACUUCAGAUCAUAAAGCAUUUGAAGAUGCAAACAGCAGGGACAGGGAGGUGUGAUCUCCAAGAUGCUAUAAAUUGAGGAAAUACCUUACAUAAAAUUAGUUGCAAGGGCACAUACCAUAAAUGCAUCAUAAACAUUUACUUUUGAAACAGAGCAAAUGAUCCUCAAGUCAACAAAACCUCCCAGACUGUUUGGGUUUGGCUAAGAAAGAAGUUUUCCUACAUUCAGCCCCAUUGACCAGAAAACACUCUUUUAACUAAUUUGAUAUUUAAAUAAUUUUUACCACUUCCAUCUACAUUGCUUUUGGUCUAUCUCCACUUCUAUUGUCCUAUUGCUUGAACCCACUCACUUACAUAGGGCACAUAUUGUUUUGAGACAAAAAUUUACAGCUCAGAUAUAUGCA
rnacentral:misc_RNA from 1 species